rnacentral:snRNA from 1 species
GUGCUCAAUUGGGCAGUACACACUAAAAUAGGAACAGUAGAAAGGAAAAUAUCAUGGCCUUUGUACAAGGAUGACAUGCAAAUUCAUAAAGUUGCACUCUUCCCU